GACGAACGCUGGCGGCGUGCCUAAUACAUGCAAGUAGAACGCUGAAGGAGGAGCUUGCUUCUCUGGAUGAGUUGCGAACGGGUGAGUAACGCGUAGGUAACCUGCCUGGUAGCGGGGGAUAACUAUUGGAAACGAUAGCUAAUACCGCAUAACAGUAGAUAUCGCAUGAUAUCUACUUGAAAGGUGCAAUUGCAUCACUACCAGAUGGACCUGCGUUGUAUUAGCUAGUUGGUGUGGUAACGGCUCACCAAGGCGACGAUACAUAGCCGACCUGAGAGGGUGAUCGGCCACACUGGGACUGAGACACGGCCCAGACUCCUACGGGAGGCAGCAGUAGGGAAUCUUCGGCAAUGGACGGAAGUCUGACCGAGCAACGCCGCGUGAGUGAAGAAGGUUUUCGGAUCGUAAAGCUCUGUUGUAAGAGAAGAACGAGUGUGAGAGUGGAAAGUUCACACUGUGACGGUAUCUUACCAGAAAGAGACGGCUAACUACGUG
rnacentral:rRNA from 1 species